rnacentral:lncRNA from 1 species
GCCUCCUUGAGCUGUGGUGGGCUCCACCCAGUUCGAGCUUCCUGGCUGCUUUGUUUACCUAAUCAAGCCUGGGCAAUGGCGGGCGCCCCUCCCCCAGCCUCGCUGCCGCCUUGCACUUUGAUCUCAGACUGCUGUGCUAGCAAUCAGCGAGACUCCGUGGGUGUAGGACCCUCCGAGCCAGGUGCGGGAUAUAAUCUUGUGGUGUGCCAUUUUUUAAGCCCAUCGGAAAAGCGCCGUAUUCGGGUGGGAGUGACCCGAUUUUCCAGGUGCCAUCUGUCACCCUUUUCUUUGACUCAGAAAGGGAACUUGCUGACCCCUUGCGCUUCCCAAGUGAGGCAAUGCCUCGCCCUGCUUCGGCUCACGCACAGUGCGCCCACCCACUGACCUGCGCCCACUGUCUGGCACUCGCUAGUGAGAUGAACCCGGUACCUCAGAUGGAAAUGCAGAAAUCACCCGUCUUCUGCGUCGCUCAGGCUGGGAGCUGUAGACCAGAGCUGUUCCUAUUCGGCCAUCUUCUGGUGCUACAUUUUAAAAGAGAAAGAAAAACUACAUAUACAGUAAGACAUUCUGUGCUGGGAGGAGAGCAGAGGAUCCAGGGAGCAGAUUGCAGGGAGCUUCACUGAAGCAAGAUGACCGUGAUGCUGGAGAAGAGCCCUUGAGAUGGAACAGGGGAAUCCUGGAGGCUACUUCUUGAAGAUGAGGUUAUCACAAGAUGCAGAAGGAGGCUGAAUUCCUGAAUCACUGCUCGAAGGAGAGCUGUCUGUCCUGGAAAAUGAUGAGAUGAACCCGGUACCUACGAUGGAAGUGCAGAAGUCACCCGUCUUCUGCGUCGCUCACGCUGGGAGCUGUAGACCAGAGCUGUUCCUAUUCGGCCAUCUUCAAAAAAAUUCUAUGGCAGUACUGGCUGUGCCUGAGAAACCUCCUGCCACUCAAGCCCAGCAAGGUUCUUGGGAGAACAGUCCAGCAGAAUCAGUUAUCAAGUAAAAGUCACAACCAUAAGUUCAAUGCCACUGAUUCAUGCAACAGGUAGAACUAUCACAAGUCCCAUCAUCAUCUCCUCCUCUUCUGUGCUUCCUGACAGGACACAGGCAGGUUACUGAGUAGAUGGAUUGACCAGAGCUUCCUAUAAUACCAAGGAAAGUUUCACGGAGAACAUCUGGAAUUAAGUCAACUUGAGUGGAUUGAAGGAUGCAAAGUAUUUUUCCUGGGUGUGUCUGUCAGGGCGUUGCCAAAGGAGAUCAACAUUUGAGUCAGUGGCCCGGAAGAGGCAGACCCACCCUCUAUCUGGGUAGGCACCAUCUAAUCAGUUGCCAGUGUGGCUGGAAUAAAGCAGGCAGAAGAACAUGGAAGGACUUGACUUGCUGUCUUCUGGCCUUCAUCUUUCUCCUGUGGUGGAUGCUUCCUGCCCUUGAACCUUAGACUCCAGGUUCUUCAGCUUUUGGACUCUUGGACUUACACCAGUAAUUUGCCAGGGGCUGUCUCUCUAGCAUCCUUGCUCCUCAGCUUGCAGACAGCCUAUUGUGGGACUUCAAUUUGUGAUUGCAUGAGUCAAUACUUCUUAAUAAAUUCUCCUCCAUAUAUACAUCUGUCCUGUUUUUUCUGUUCCUUUAGAGAACCCUAAUUAAUACAGAUUUAUUCUCUUCCAGAUUCUUUUUAGAAAAAUUACAGAGAAUAUUGGAUU